rnacentral:rRNA from 1 species
CAAGGUUUAGCCAAUCCCAUAAAUCUGUUUUCAGUUCGGAUCGCAGUUUGCAACUUGACUGCGUGAAGCUGGAAUCGCUAGUAAUCGCGGAUCAGCAUGCCGCGGUGAAUACGUUCCCGGGCCUUGUACACACCGCCCGUCACACCACGAGAGUUUGCAACACCCGAAGUCGGUGAGGUAACCUUUAUGGAGCCAGCCGCCGA